rnacentral:rRNA from 1 species
GGUUAAGCGACUAAGCGUACACGGUGGAUGCCCUGGCAGUCAGAGGCGAUGAAGGACGUGCUAAUCUGCGAAAAGCGUCGGUAAGGUGAUAUGAACCGUUAUAACCGGCGAUGUCCGAAUGGGGAAACCCAGUGCAAUUCGUUGCACUAUCGUUAACUGAAUACAUAGGUUAACGAGGCGAACCGGGGGAACUGAAACAUCUAAGUACCCCGAGGAAAAGAAAUCAACCGAGAUUCCCCCAGUAGCGGCGAGCGAACGGGGAGCAGCCCAGAGUCUGAAUCAGCUUGUGUGUUAGUGGAACGGUCUGGAAAGUCCGACGGUACAGGGUGAUAGUCCCGUACACCAAAAUGCACAGGUUGUGAACUCGAAGAGUAGGGCGGGACACGUGGUAUCCUGUCUGAAUAUGGGGGGACCAUCCUCCAAGGCUAAAUACUCCUGACUGACCGAUAGUGAACCAGUACCGUGAGGGAAAGGCGAAAAGAACCCCGGCGAGGGGAGUGAAAAAGAACCUGAAACCGUGUACGUACAAGCAGUGGGAGCACCUUCGGGUGUGACUGCGUACCUUUUGUAUAAUGGGUCAGCGACUUAUAUUCUGUAGCAAGGUUAACCGUAUAGGGGAGCCGCAGGGAAACCGAGUCUUAACUGGGCGUUAAGUUGCAGGGUAUAGACCCGAAACCCGGUGAUCUAGCCAUGGGCAGGUUGAAGGUUGGGUAACACUAACUGGAGGACCGAACCGACUAAUGUUGAAAAAUUAGCGGAUGACUUGUGGCUGGGGGUGAAAGGCCAAUCAAACCGGGAGAUAGCUGGUUCUCCCCGAAAGCUAUUUAGGUAGCGCCUCGUGAAUUCAUCUUCGGGGGUAGAGCACUGUUUCGGCUAGGGGGUCAUCCCGACUUACCAACCCGAUGCAAACUACGAAUACCGAAGAAUGUUAUCACGGGAGACACACGGCGGGUGCUAACGUCCGUCGUGAAGAGGGAAACAACCCAGACCGCCAGCUAAGGUCCCAAAGUCAUGGUUAAGUGGGAAACGAUGUGGGAAGGCACAGACAGCCAGGAUGUUGGCUUAGAAGCAGCCAUCAUUUAAAGAAAGCGUAAUAGCUCACUGGUCGAGUCGGCCUGCGCGGAAGAUGUAACGGGGCUAAACCAUGCACCGAAGCUGCGGCAGCGACACUAUGUGUUGUUGGGUAGGGGAGCGUUCUGUAAGCCUGCGAAGGUGACCUGUGAGGGUUGCUGGAGGUAUCAGAAGUGCGAAUGCUGACAUAAGUAACGAUAAAGCGGGUGAAAAGCCCGCUCGCCGGAAGACCAAGGGUUCCUGUCCAACGUUAAUCGGGGCAGGGUGAGUCGACCCCUAAGGCGAGGCCGAAAGGCGUAGUCGAUGGGAAACAGGUUAAUAUUCCUGUACUUGGUGUUACUGCGAAGGGGGGACGGAGAAGGCUAUGUUAGCCGGGCGACGGUUGUCCCGGUUUAAGCAUGUAGGCUGAUUGUCCAGGCAAAUCCGGAUAAUCAAGGCUGAGGUGUGAUGACGAGGCACUACGGUGCUGAAGUAACAAAUGCCCUGCUUCCAGGAAAAGCCUCUAAGCAUCAGGUAACAUUAAAUCGUACCCCAAACCGACACAGGUGGUCAGGUAGAGAAUACCAAGGCGCUUGAGAGAACUCGGGUGAAGGAACUAGGCAAAAUGGUGCCGUAACUUCGGGAGAAGGCACGCUGGUGUGUAGGUGAAGCCCCUGCGGGUGGAGCUGAGACCAGUCGAAGAUACCAGCUGGCUGCAACUGUUUAUUAAAAACACAGCACUGUGCAAACACGAAAGUGGACGUAUACGGUGUGACGCCUGCCCGGUGCCGGAAGGUUAAUUGAUGGGGUUAUCCGUAAGGAGAAGCUCUUGAUCGAAGCCCCGGUAAACGGCGGCCGUAACUAUAACGGUCCUAAGGUAGCGAAAUUCCUUGUCGGGUAAGUUCCGACCUGCACGAAUGGCGUAAUGAUGGCCAGGCUGUCUCCACCCGAGACUCAGUGAAAUUGAACUCGCUGUGAAGAUGCAGUGUACCCGCGGCAAGACGGAAAGACCCCGUGAACCUUUACUAUAGCUUGACACUGAACAUUGAGCCUUGAUGUGUAGGAUAGGUGGGAGGCUUUGAAGCGUGGACGCCAGUCUGCGUGGAGCCAACCUUGAAAUACCACCCUUUAAUGUUUGAUGUUCUAACGUUGGCCCCUGACCGGGGUUGCGGACAGUGUCUGGUGGGUAGUUUGACUGGGGCGGUCUCCUCCCAAAGCGUAACGGAGGAGCACGAAGGUUAGCUAAUCCUGGUCGGACAUCAGGAGGUUAGUGCAAUGGCAUAAGCUAGCUUGACUGCGAGCGUGACGGCGCGAGCAGGUGCGAAAGCAGGUCAUAGUGAUCCGGUGGUUCUGAAUGGAAGGGCCAUCGCUCAACGGAUAAAAGGUACUCCGGGGAUAACAGGCUGAUACCGCCCAAGAGUUCAUAUCGACGGCGGUGUUUGGCACCUCGAUGUCGGCUCAUCACAUCCUGGGGCUGAAGUAGGUCCCAAGGGUAUGGCUGUUCGCCAUUUAAAGUGGUACGCGAGCUGGGUUUAGAACGUCGUGAGACAGUUCGGUCCCUAUCUGCCGUGGGCGCUGGAGAAUUGAGGGGGGCUGCUCCUAGUACGAGAGGACCGGAGUGGACGCAUCACUGGUGUUCGGGUUGUCAUGCCAAUGGCACUGCCCGGUAGCUAAAUGCGGAAGAGAUAAGUGCUGAAAGCAUCUAAGCACGAAACUUGCCCCGAGAUGAGUUCUCCCUGAGACUUUAAGUCUCCUGAAGGAACGUUGAAGACGACGACGUUGAUAGGCCGGGUGUGUAAGCGCAGCGAUGCGUUGAGCUAACCGGUACUAAUGAACCGUGAGGCUUAACCUU